GAGCAUUUCAUGAUUGUUUCUACACUUGAACUGAGCUCA
rnacentral:snoRNA from 1 species